rnacentral:rRNA from 1 species
GAUGAACGCUGGCGGCGUGCCUAAUACAUGCAAGUCGAGCGAACAGACGAGGAGCUUGCUCCUCUGACGUUAGCGGCGGACGGGUGAGUAACACGAGGAUAACCUACCUAUAAGACUGGGAUAACUUCGGGAGACCGGAGCUAAUACCGGAUAAUAUAUUGAACCGCAUGGUUCAAUAGUGAAAGACGGUUUUGCUGUCACUUAUAGAUGGAUCCGCGCCGCAUUAGCUAGUUGGUAAGGUAACGGCUUACCAAGGCAACGAUGCGUAGCCGACCUGAGAGGGUGAUCGGCCACACUGGAACUGAGACACGGUCCAGACUCCUACGGGAGGCAGCAGUAGGGAAUCUUCCGCAAUGGGCGAAAGCCUGACGGAGCAACGCCGCGUGAGUGAUGAAGGUCUUCGGAUCGUAAAACUCUGUUAUUAGGGAAGAACAAAUGUGUAAGUAACUAUGCACGUCUUGACGGUACCUAAUCAGAAAGCCACGGCUAACUACGUG